rnacentral:rRNA from 1 species
GAGUUUGAUCCUGGCUCAGAGCGAACGCUGGCGGCAGGCUUAACACAUGCAAGUCGAACGCAUCCUUCGGGGUGAGUGGCAGACGGGUGAGUAACACGUGGGAACGUACCUUUUGGUUUGGGAUAACUCAGGGAAACUUGAGCUAAUACCGGAUACGCCCUUAGGGGGAAAGAUUUAUCGCCGAAAGAUCGGCCCGCGUCUGAUUAGCUAGUUGGUAGGGUAAUGGCCUACCAAGGCGACGAUCAGUAGCUGGUCUGAGAGGAUGAUCAGCCACACUGGGACUGAGACACGGCCCAGACUCCUACGGGAGGCAGCAGUGGGGAAUAUUGGACAAUGGGCGCAAGCCUGAUCCAGCCAUGCCGCGUGAGUGAUGAAGGCCUUAGGGUUGUAAAGCUCUUUCGGCGGGGACGAUAAUGACGGUACCCGCAGAAGAAGCCCCGGCUAACUUCG